rnacentral:rRNA from 2 species
ACAUGCAAGUCGAACGCACUCUCGUUUAGAUUGAAGGAGCUUGCUCCUGAUUGAUAAACAUUUGAGUGAGUGGCGGACGGGUGAGUAACACGUGGGUAACCUGCCCUAAAGUGGGGGAUAACAUUUGGAAACAGAUGCUAAUACCGCAUAAAACCUAACACCGCAUGGUGUAGGGUUGAAAGAUGGUUUCGGCUAUCACUUUAGGAUGGACCCGCGGUGCAUUAGUUAGUUGGUGAGGUAAAGGCUCACCAAGACCGUGAUGCAUAGCCGACCUGAGAGGGUAAUCGGCCACACUGGGACUGAGACACGGCCCAGACUCCUACGGGAGGCAGCAGUAGGGAAUCUUCCACAAUGGACGAAAGUCUGAUGGAGCAACGCCGCGUGAGUGAAGAAGGUUUUCGGAUCGUAAAACUCUGUUGUUGGAGAAGAAUGUAUCUGAUAGUAACUGAUCAGGUAGUGACGGUAUCCAACCAGAAAGCCACGGCUAACUACGUGCCAGCAGCCGCGGUAAUACGUAGGUGGCAAGCGUUGUCCGGAUUUAUUGGGCGUAAAGCGAGCGCAGGCGGUUUCUUAAGUCUGAUGUGAAAGCCUUCGGCUCAACCGAAGAAG